rnacentral:rRNA from 1 species
GAUGAACGCUAGCGGCAGGCAUAACACAUGCAAGUCGAGAGAGAGGUUACUUUCGGGUACCCAAAACCGGCGCACGGGUGCGUAACGCGUAUACUAUCUGCCUUUCACAUAGAGAUACCCAGAAGAAAUUUGGAUUUAUACCUAAUGGUAUAUAAGAGCGGCAUCGUUUUUAUAUUAAAGCUACGGUGGUGAAAGAUGAGUAUGCGUUCUAUUAGCUAGUUGGAGAGGUAACGUCUCCCCAAGGCGACGAUAGAUAGGGGUUCUGAGAGGGAUGUCCCCCACACUGGUACUGAGAUACGGACCAGACUCCUACGGGAGGCAGCAGUGAGGAAUAUUGGACAAUGGUCGGAAGACUGAUCCAGCCAUGCCGCGUGCAGGAUGAAGGUCCUAUGGAUUGUAAACUGCUUUUGUAAGGGAAGAAUAAGGAGUACGUGUACUUUGAUGACGGUACCUUACGAAUAAGCAUCGGCUAACUCCGUGCCAGCAGCCGCGGUAAUACGGAGGAUGCGAGCGUUAUCCGGAAUCAUUGGGUUUAAAGGGUCCGUAGGCGGGCUGAUAAGUCAGAGGUGAAAGCGCUUAGCUCAACUAAGCAACUGCCUUUGAAACUGUCAGUCUUGAAUGAUUGUGAAGUAGUUGGAAUGUGUAGUGUAGCGGUGAAAUGCUUAGAUAUUACACAGAACACCGAUAGCGAAGGCAUAUUACUAACAAUUUAUUGACGCUGAUGGACGAAAGCGUGGGGAGCGAACAGG